rnacentral:rRNA from 1 species
GUAAGUUAGUAAGAGCAUAUGGUGAAUGCCUUGGUGCACGGAGCCGAUGAAGGACGCAGCAAGCCUGCGAUAGGCCACGGAGAGCUGCAUAACAAGCUUUGACCCGUGGAUAUCCGAAUGGGGAAACCCGUGAGAGGGAAACCUUUCACAUCCUUGUCUGAAUACAUAGGGCAAGGAGGGGAAGCGAGGGAACCGAAAAAUCCUAGUACCUCGACGAAAAGAAAGCAAAAGCGAUUCCCUUAGUAGUGCGAGCGAAUGGGGAGAAGCCUAAACCAUCUAUGUGUAUAAGCUGGCAGGCGUUGCAUAGAUGGGGUUGUAGGAAAGCUAAUCCUUAUCUGUCAAUAAGGUAUGGAGUAAGAAAUGGACUUCAUAGUGGAACACUUUGGAAAGAGUGACCGUAGAGGGUGAUAGUCCCGUAGACGAAAUGAAGUUCACUCCUAUAGCUUUUCCUGAGUACCGCGGGGCACGUGGAAUCCUGCGGGAAGCCAGGAAGACCACUUUCUAAGGCUAAAUACUCCGGCAACCGAUAGUGAAAAAAGUACCGUGAGGGAAAGGUGAAAAGAACCCCGGGAGGGGAGUGAAAUAGAACCUGAAACCAUAUGCUUACAAUGUGUAGGAGGGCUAUGAAGUGGCAACACUUCAGCCUGACUGCGUGCCUAUUGAAGUAUGACCCAAGGAGUUAAGGGUAGUGGCAAGGUUAAGGGAAGAACCCGGAGCCGUAGCGAAAGCGAGUCUGAAUAGGGCGUUAGUCGCUAUCCUUAGACCCGAAACCAGAUGGUCAACCCAUGGCCAGGGUGAAACAAGUGUAAGAGCUUGUGGAGGCCCGUACCGAUUGGGGGAAAAAACUCAUCGGAUGAGCUGUGGGUAGGAGAGAAAUUCUAACCGAAUCUGGAGAUAGCUGGUUCUCUUCGAAAUGCAUUUAGGUGCAGCGGUAGGUCAUUGGCAAGUGGAGGUAGAGCACUGGAUGGGCUAGGGGUCUUACCAGACUUCCGAACCCAACCAAACUCCGAAUGCCAUUUGCUGUAUCCUACCAGUGAGUCGGCGGAUUCUAAGAUCCGUCGUCGAGUAGGGAAACAACCCAGAUCGUCUGCUAAGGUCCCUAAAAUGAACUAAGUGUAUCAAAGGAGGUGGAACUGCUUUGACAGCUAGGAGGUUAGCUCAGAAGCAGCUAUCCUUCAAAGAGUGCGUAACAGCUCACUAGUCGAGUGGUUCUGCGCCGAAAAUGUUCGGGACUAAGUUCAUUACCGAAGCAGCGGGUUCAGAGAGUCUUCGGAUUCUCUGAGCGGUAGGAGAGCGUUCCUAUUGCAGAGAAGGUAUACCGUAAGGAGUGCUGGAGCGAUAGGAAGUGAGAAUCUUGGGUUAAGUAACGAAAAGCAGGGCGAGAAUCCCUGCCGUCGUAAGUCUAAGGUUUCCUGGGGAAGGUUUGUCCGCCCAGGGUUAGUCGGGCCUAAGCCGAGGCCGAAAGGCGUAGGCGAUGGAUAACAGGUUAAUAUUCCUAUACCAUGCAUCUUCCGUUAUCAGGAUGGGGUGGCGGAGAAGGAUAGGUUAAGCGCGGUAUUGGUUAUCUGCGUCCAAGCCAGUAGGAGGUAUCCGGAGGCAAAUCCCUGGAUACGUUAACUCUGAGAGGUGAUGGGGAGCCGCAAGGCGAAGUAGCUGAUUCCAUACUCACGAGAAAAACCUCUAACGAGGAAGAUGUGUGUCCGUACCGCAAUCCAACACAGGUAGACGAGGAGAACACUCCUAAGACGUACGAAAGAACCCUCUUUAAGGAACUCGGCAAAAUUACCCCGUAACUUAGGGAAAAGGGGUGUCUGGGAAGGUGUUGGUGACUUGCUCACCAGUGCGUUCCUGGAUCACAGUAAACAGGCUCAAGCGACUGUUUAACAAAAACACAGGUCUCUGCUAAGUCGUAAAGACGAUGUAUAGGGGCCGACGCUUGCCCGGUGCCGGAAGGUUAUAGGGAGGGGUUAGUGGACUUCGGUCCGCGAAGCUCUGAACUUAAGCCCCGGUGAACGGCGGCCGUAACUAUAGAAUGGACGCUGUAGUUAUAAAACUUGGCUAUAUGCUGGAAAACCCGGUAAGUAUCUGGCACUACAAGAGCUUUUAGCUCCGUGAAAAUGUGUCCAGUGCGGGCAAUCAGCAGGAAAGACUUUUAUGGAGUAGAAAAUGGAAGAAAGAAUUAAUGUUCCUCAAAAAAUUGGAUGGCACUUUGCUGGAUUUUCUGAUGGGGAAGGAAGCUUUAAUGUAUCUCUAAAGAAAAGGGAUGAUUAUAGGCUUGGUUGGAAAGUGGAGCUUUCCUUUAAUGUUUCCCAGAAGGACAAAGUGAUUCUUGCACUUUUUAAAGAGUAUCUCGGAUGUGGAACGCUGAGAGGAAGAAGUGACGGAGUUUGGUAUUACGAAGUCACAAAUAUUAAAGACCUUUCAGAGAAAAUUGUGCCUUUCUUUGAAAAAUUUGGUUUCCUCUCGGCAAGGAAAAAGGAAGCAUUCUCUAAAUUCAAAGACAUUCUUGAGAUAGUGAAAGAUGGAAAACAUCUUACAAACAAAGGUUUGAGAGAGAUUGCAAGACUUCGAGAGCAAAUAAAUGAGGAUAACUCAAAAAGAAAAUAUAAUGCAGAUGAAGUUAAGAACUCCAUAAAAGAAUCCUCAGAGACUAUACGCCAGGCACCUUGUGAAAGUCAGGGUGAUGAUAUAGUCCGGUCUCCAUAGCGAUAUGGAGGAUCAGCCGGAGUUUGGUUGAUCGCCAUCAAAUAUAGAUGGUAACAUACACGAACGGUCCUAAGGUAGCGAAAUACCUUGUCGGGUAAGUUCCGACGCGCAUGAAAAGCGUAACGACUUGAGCGCCGUCUCGAAGAGGGAUUCGGUGAAAUAA